GUUGAUCUGCCGGACCUGACUGCUAUCGGAUGUACUAAGCCAUGCGAGUCGUUGUACAAUACAAGGCGGACUGCUCAGUAACACGGUUAGUUGACUUAACCUAUGGAUGGGAAUAACCUCGGGAAACUGAGAAUAAUGCCCAAUAGACCACAGUGCCUGGAAUGGCUGUGGUUGAAANUGAAUUUAUCGCCGUAGGAUAGGACUGCGGCCUAUCAGCUGGUUGGUGAGGUAAUGGCCCACCAAGGCUAUAACAGGUACGGGCUCUGAGAGGAGGGGCCCGGAGAUGGGUACUGAGACACGGACCCAGGCCCUAUGGGGCGCAGCAGGCGAGAAACCUUUGCAAUGUGCGAAAGCACGACAAGGGUUAAUCCGAGUGUCUCCUGCUAAAGGAGUCUUUUGUCAGUUGUAGAAUCACUGGUGAAUAAGGGGUGGGCAAGUUCUGGUGUCAGCCGCCGCGGUAAAACCAGCACCUCGGAGUGGUCAGGAGGUUUAUUGGGCCUAAAGCAUCCGUAGCCGGUUGCAUAAGUUUUCGGUUAAAUCUAUGCGCUUAACGUAUAGGCCGCCGAAAAUACUGUGCAGCUAGGGAGUGGGAGAGGU
rnacentral:rRNA from 1 species